ACACACACACACACACACACACACACACACGCGCGCGCGCGCGCAAGCACGCCCCCACCAACACACACGCGCGCACCCAACCUUCAGUUCAUGAAAAAGAUUAUGGUAUAUGAUUGCGAUUGCUACAAUCAAUUUUGAUAUGGCUUUCAUGAAGGGGAGAGGUCUAAAACACGUCUAUCUUACGAAAAGGGUUGUAUUUCACCCUAGAACACUGAUAAGUCAGAAAGUAGUUUGAUAUAAAAAUUCCAAGUUCCAUACCUCAGCUACAAUGUAACAACAAAGCCAAUAAAUCUGAAAAUCAAAAUGGGUCUCUCGUCUGCCUAUUUCAAGUAUUUAUAUAAAAAUCAUGAAAAUAUUUCUUUAAAAAACUUAAAUUAUCGCGUGCCAUAGACUGGCGGACAAAUCCAAGGCAACAUUGCAGCUCUGUUUCCAUGUAAAUCAUAACAGAAAGACAUGAUAAGUAUAAAAGUUUGUCAUUUAUUUAGAAGGACGAAACAUGCGAGUCCUAAAAAUACAGAGCGAAAUUGGCUGGGAGACAUACCCACAUCUUGACUAGAAAUGCAAUAUAUAAAAGCAUUACAUAACAUGAACAGCGUCCUCUCAGUCACAAUAUUUUAACCAAAUGUGAUAUAAUACAAAUGAAUCUUUACUGAAAACAAAAGUGGUGCAUAAAAAGGCUUUCUGAAUAGUAAAAGCAUGGCAAGUGGAAUUUGCUUUUUUAUAAUUUACAUAUUAAUGUAUGACACCAACAUGGGUGCGGAUUCUAUGUUUAAUGGUGUGUACAAAAUGUCUAACACAUUAUUUAAAAAUUUGAAUCUAAAAGUUUCAUGAUAUUGGGAGGGAGGAGUCAUUGACUUUGAAAGACGGUAGGUACCCACUUCGCCGUUUCAUAUACACACACUGAUUAGAAAAUCGCAACACCAGCCUUUUUCCUCUUAGCCGAAGUAUGAUGAUUAACUUUAUACUAUAAGAUGAAUAAGUUUUCAUGUUUGACGUUUUUAUUAGCAUCACUUGAUCUCUAUAAACGUGAAAACGUCAUCAGUAAAUGCAUUCAUUUGUCAUUCUUUUUCAAAAAAACAGAGGACGCGAGAUAUUGACAUUGUCAGCCAUGAACACUGGCCUUAAUAGAAAACGACGAUUGUUAAAAUAAGGCACACCUGCAGCAAAAAUGGCCCUUUGGUAAUUUUGUGCAUUAAGAUUGUCCCUAACUGUGAUAAGAUCCAGCUUACAGUCGUAGGGAACACAUCCCACACCAUAACCGAUCCACCACCAAACACAGUCCCACACCACAACCGAUCCACCGCCAAACACAGUCCCACACCAUAACCGAUCCACCAUCAAACGGAGUCCUCUCUACAAUAUUCCGUUCAUCAUAUCAGUUGUAAGUUGCCGUCAUACACGCAUUCGUUCAUCUGUAAUAUGUAGCAAAUAGCGGCUUUCAGCUGACCAAUGGACUUUCAUCCACGAGGCUAGGUUCCGAUGCUGGUGAUCGAGACACCAUUGCCUCGUGCUGCUCCUCUGGUUGGGUGUGAGCAACGACCUCUUUAUGGAUCUUCUUGCACAAUAGCUAAAUAACCGGAUAACCUCAGUCGAUUUUGGUUUGUUCUCGUUCAAAACAAACGAUGUGGUUUUUAAAAAUUGAGCUUUUGGUAAAAACGUUUCGUCUAACCAUCCUUCUGAGUGCAAUGUCCUCAUGAACAGAUGUUUUACGGGGCCUUCCAGAUCUUUCACGAUCUUGAACGCCAUUUGUGAACUGGUUCUCUCUGACAAUUCUACAGAUAGUUGAAUGAUGAUGACCCACUUAAUUGAUGACCGAUUUGUCUCGAUGACAGACCUGCCUUCCCUCAUUCCAAUAAUCUGUCAUCAGAUUACAUUUGAGACUUGUGGAGGACCCAUAAUUUCGAUGAUGCAAGAAAAGUCAACCUAAUCUGUCAAACUGCACAAGUUAAACAAAGAGCUAAAGCAAUGUGUACAAAACUUGCAAUUCUGUCAGACCUGAGUACAAUAGUCGCACGGACGAUUCGUGAACAAUAAACAGUUGAAUACAGGUAUAUUGUAAACAAAGGUUUAGAAUGAAUUCAAAAUUAUUGCUCUGUUUUCAAUUUUUUUUUUUAUAAAACAGUAACUUUGGUGUUGCAAUAUUUCUUUGUGUAUAUUGAAAUUUUGCUUGUAACACAACUUCGACAAAUUAAUCAGUGUUGCUAAUUAUCAAACAGUAAACAUGACUAUAAAAGGAUAAUUAUUGAUAUCCUAUGUCCGCUCACAGACUCCGUGAGUCCUCCUGUAUACCUAUCUAUUUGUUCAAGGUAAAUAUCGUAUAACUUCAGAGAAAUGUCGUGCUUCCGCUCUGGCAAAUGAGUGCGAGAUCGAUGUUUGACAGAAACAAAUU